rnacentral:rRNA from 1 species
CGCUUGACAUGUACGGAAUCCUGAAGAGAUUUGGGAGUGCUCGAAAGAGAGCCGUAACACAGGUGCUGCAUGGCUGUCGUCAGCUCGUGUCGUGAGAUGUUGGGUUAAGUCCCGCAACGAGCGCAACCCUUGUCAUUAGUUGCUACGAAAGGGCACUCUAAUGAGACUGCCGGUGACAAACCGGAGGAAGGUGGGGAUGACGUCAAGUCCUCAUGGCCCUUAUGCGUAGGGCUUCACACGUCAUACAAUGGUACAUACAGAGGGUUGCCAACCCGCGAGGGGGAGCUAAUCUCAGAAAGUGUAUCGUAGUCCGGAUUGAAGUCUGCAACUCGACUUCAUGAAGUUGGAAUCGCUAGUAAUCGCGGAUCAGCAUGUCGCGGUGAAUACGUUCCCGGGUCUUGUACACACCGCCCGUCACACCAUGGGAGCGGGUUUUACCAGAAGUAGGUAGCCUAACCGCAAGGAGGGCGCUUACCACGGUAGGAUUCGUGACUGGGGUGAAGUCGUAACAAGGUAGGCGUAGUGCU